AGUAACGCGUGAGGAACCUGCCUCAAAGAGGGGGACAACAGUUGGAAACGACUGCUAAUACCGCAUAAGCCCACAGCUCGGCAUCGAGCAGAGGGAAAAGGAGUGAUCCGCUUUGAGAUGGCCUCGCGUCCGAUUAGCUAGUUGGCGAGGUAACGGCCCACCAAGGCAACGAUCGGUAGCCGGACUGAGAGGUUGAACGGCCACAUUGGGACUGAGACACGGCCCAG
rnacentral:rRNA from 1 species